rnacentral:rRNA from 1 species
UGGGGAAUAUUGGACAAUGGGCGAAAGCCUGAUCCAGCCAUGCCGCGUGUGUGAAGAAGGUCUUCGGAUUGUAAAGCACUUUAAGUUGGGAGGAAGGGCAUUAACCUAAUACGUUAGUGUUUUGACGUUACCGACAGAAUAAGCACCGGCUAACUCUGUGCCAGCAGCCGCGGUAAUACAGAGGGUGCAAGCGUUAAUCGGAAUUACUGGGCGUAAAGCGCGCGUAGGUGGUUUGUUAAGUUGGAUGUGAAAUCCCCGGGCUCAACCUGGGAACUGCAUUCAAAACUGACUGACUAGAGUAUGGUAGAGGGUGGUGGAAUUUCCUGUGUAGCGGUGAAAUGCGUAGAUAUAGGAAGGAACACCAGUGGCGACGGCGACCACCUGGACUAAUACUGACACUGAGGUGCGAAAGCGUGGGGAGCAAACA